UACGUAGGGGGCAAGCGUUGUCCGGAAUCAUUGGGCGUAAAGAGCGUGUAGGCGGCCCGGUAAGUCCGCUGUGAAAGUCGGGGGCUCAACCCUCGAAAGCCGGUGGAUACUGUCGGGCUAGAGUGCGGGAGAGGCGAGUGGAAUUCCUGGUGUAGCGGUGAAAUGCGCAGGUAUCAGGAGGAACACCGAUUGCGAAGGCAGCUCGCUGGAACGUAACUGACGCUGAGACGCGAAAGCGUGGGGAGCAAACAGG
rnacentral:rRNA from 1 species